rnacentral:rRNA from 1 species
CCUACGGGAGGCAGCAGUGAGGAAUAUUGGUCAAUGGUCGGGAGACUGAACCAGCCAAGCCGCGUGCAGGAGGACGGUACAGUGGAUUGUAAACUGCUUUUGUGAGGGGACAAAAAGCGGCACGCGUGCCCGGCUGAAGGUACCGCAAGAAAAAGCAUCGGCUAACUCCGUGCCAGCAGCCGCGGUAAUACGGAAGGUACGGGCGUUAACCGGAUUUAAUGGGUUUAAAGGGUGCGUAGGCCGCGUGGUAAGUGUGCCGUUAAAUGCCGGGGCUCAACCCCGGCCCCGCCGGUGAAACUGGCUGUCUUGAGUGGGCGAGACGUAUGCGGAAUGCGUGGUGGAGCGGUGAAAUGCUUAGAUAUCGCGCAGAACUCCGAUUGCGAAGGCAGCAUACCGCCGCCCUACUGACGCUGAGGCACGAAGGCGUGGGUAUCGAACAGGAUUAGAUACCCUUGUAGUC